GUGUGAUCUGUACUGGGCCAGUGGAUGAUGCAAUGCGUGAUUCUCGACCAUGAUCUUAUUAAGCAACGUAUGUGAAAUUGUGGGAGGUAGUAAGCCAGUGUAAUGGUCCCCACUUUUUGUAAUGUUAUCAAUGAAUAUUGAGAAGAGAACGAUUAGCAUCUGCUGAUACAAAAGAAAAAGAGAUGACACACAAUAAAGAGAGAUAACCUACGAGAGACUCAGAUAGCCAAAAGGGAGAUAUUCGGCUUCUGAAAUAUUUCAGCAAAAUGACAGUAUCGUGUUAAGUGUGUUCUUAUUGUGCAGGCAAUAUGCUGGCACAUGACGCUUAUGGCUGUAAGGAAGAAAAACUAGUGUAAUAAAGGUUAAUAUUUGUCUUCGACGUGUGUGAUCGAGCCGACUCGAAAUUUAAGGCUUUCAUUGCUUCCCACAA